ACAUUGCAGGCAUAGAUUGCAGGAUACAGUGAAUGAUACGUGUUUUAUACAAUGAAUCUAAGUACCUAUUUGUUUCAGGUUAAUAUCGAACUUCGAACUUAUAAAGUGUUAAGCAGCAAUUACAAUAAAAGUGCUUGCUGUGGAAUCACUGGUGCUGCUCAUUAUUGUCAACUGUUACUUAAAAAGGUUAUGCCAUGCAUUAAAUUAGGAAGAUUUGUGUUGGAUGAAUUACCCAGAUAACAAUUAAAACAACUUCUAUUUAUAAGAACAUUCGAUUGGUGGAAUCCAGAUUCUGUGAAUAUUAUAUUAAGUAAUUGAUUGACAAGUACACAUUUGACAAGGUGGUGAGAAACAUGUAGAUCUGGCCUGCUUACAGUGGAGUGGACAGAACCAACGUGAGAGUGAACGUGUGAAUUUAUGGAGAACAUUAAACUAUUUUACUAUAAGUCUUAACGCAACAUAUUUUAUAUGAGUUACAUACAAAUGUCAAUCCGUGAGUACAUAAUGUAAAAACUAAAACAAUGUACUGUUAUCACAACAGUAACUGUAAUCUUUUAAAAUCCAGUAGUUUUAUUGCUUAUUGAUUUUCGUAAACAAAAUAUUUCAUGUUAUAUUUCAUCAAUAAAGUUUUAUUUUAUA